CCUACCUGGGAAAUAAAUAAAUAGGACAAGUCCCCUGUAGCCCAGGGCUGGAGAACCUAGGAUUAUUCCAGAGGUCGUGGGGUUAAUGAACAGAAAUCUCCCAUCUGCUAUCCUGCUGCAGUUGGGGUACAGCAAAGUUCUGCUGCCACAGAGGAAGGGGAACCUGGCCGUGUUCAUCGCGCCACAGGGGGACAGCCUCCGAGUUCUCAAGCAGCUUUUUAAUGUGUAUUUCCGAUGAUGUAGAGGACAGAAGAGGCAACAGGUCAUUGUGAUGGUGGCUGUCGUGGACACAGGCUGGAAGGUGAACUCAAAGCUCUUUACCCUCAAAGCGGAUCUCUGGCAAGAGGCAAGAACAGGUGACGUUUCCUUUACUAACAGUAUGACAUUCACUCAUUCAACAAAUAUUAACUGAGUAUAAACUAUAUGACAGGAACCCUGUAAGUAUCUGGGGGUAGAAAUUAUUGCACAUAAAAGCCGGGAUGGAUGGAUGGAUAGAUAAGACACAAGGGAUAUAUAUAUACACAUACAUAUAUGUAUAU
rnacentral:lncRNA from 1 species